rnacentral:rRNA from 1 species
GAUGAACGCUGGCGGCGUGCCUAAUACAUGCAAGUCGAGCGAACGGACGAGAAGCUUGCUUCUCUGAUGUUAGCGGCGGACGGGUGAGUAACACGUGGAUAACCUACCUAUAAGACUGGGAUAACUUCGGGAAACCGGAGCUAAUACCGGAUAAUAUUUUGAACCGCAUGGUUCAAAAGUGAAAGACGGUCUUGCUGUCACUUAUAGAUGGAUCCGCGCUGCAUUAGCUAGUUGGUAAGGUAACGGCUUACCAAGGCAACGAUGCAUAGCCGACCUGAGAGGGUGAUCGGCCACACUGGAACUGAGACACGGUCCAGACUCCUACGGGAGGCAGCAGUAGGGAAUCUUCCGCAAUGGGCGAAAGCCUGACGGAGCAACGCCGCGUGAGUGAUGAAGGUCUUCGGAUCGUAAAACUCUGUUAUUAGGGAAGAACAGAUGUGUAAGUAAAUGUGCACAUCUUGACGGUACCUAAUCAGAAAGCCACGGCUAACUACGUG